rnacentral:rRNA from 1 species
GACGAACGCUGGCGGCGUGCUUAACACAUGCAAGUCGAACGGAAAGGCCCCUUUGGGGGUACUCGAGUGGCGCACGGGUGCGUAACACGUGAGUAACCUGCCCUUGACUUCGGGAUAACUUCAGGAAACUGGGGCUAAUACCGGAUAGGAAUCCUUGCUGCAUGGUGGGGGUUGGAAAGCUUCGGCGGUUUUGGAUGGACUCGCGGCUUAUCAGCUUGUUGGUGGGGUAGUGGCUUACCAAGGCUUUGACGGGUAGCCGGCCUGAGAGGGCGACCGGCCACAUUGGGACUGAGAGACGGCCCAGACUCCUACGGGAGGCAGCAGUGGGGAAUAUUGCACAAUGGGCGGAAGCCUGAUGCAGCAACGCCGCGGGCGGGAUGACGGCCUUCGGGUUGGAAACCGCUUUCAGCAGGGGCGAAGCUUGUGGUGACGGUACCUGCAGAAGAAGCACCGGCUAACUACGUG